rnacentral:rRNA from 1 species
UAGGGAAUAUUAGUAAUGGGCGCAAGCCUGAACUAGCAACGCCGCGUGUGCGAAGAAGGCCUUCGGGUUGUAAAGCACUUUUAGAGGAGAUGAGAAAGGACAGUAUCCUCUGAAUAAGCCUCGGCGAACUACGUGCCAGCAGCCGCGGUAAAACGUAGGAGGCUAGCGUUAUCCGGAUUUAUUGGGCGUAAAGCGCGUGCAGGCGGUUUAUCAAGUUGGAUGUGAAGGCUCCUGGCUUAACUGGGAGAGGUCGUUCAAAACUGAUAGACUAGAGAAUGGUAGAGGGAGGUGGAAUUCCGGGUGUAGUGGUGAAAUGCGUAGAUAUCCGGAGGAACACCAGUGGCGAAAGCGGCCUCCUGGGCCAUUUCUGACGCUAAGACGCGAAAGCUAGGGUAGCAAACGG